UGGGGAAUUUUGGACAAUGGGCGAAAGCCUGAUCCAGCAAUGCCGCGUGUGUGAAGAAGGCCUUCGGGUUGUAAAGCACUUUUGUCCGGAAAGAAAUCCUUGGCUCUAAUACAGUCGGGGGAUGACGGUACCGGAAGAAUAAGCACCGGCUAACUACGUGCCAGCAGCCGCGGUAAUACGUAGGGUGCAAGCGUUAAUCGGAAUUACUGGGCGUAAAGCGUGCGCAGGCGGUUUGCUAAGACCGAUGUGAAAUCCCCGGGCUCAACCUGGGAACUGCAUUGGUGACUGGCAGGCUAGAGUAUGGCAGAGGGGGGUAGAAUUCCACGUGUAGCAGUGAAAUGCGUAGAGAUGUGGAGGAAUACCGAUGGCGAAGGCAGCCCCCUGGGCCAAUACUGACGCUCAUGCACGAAAGCGUGGGGGAGCAAAACAGGAUUAGAUACCCUGGUAGUCCACGCCCUAAAACGAUGUCAACUAGUUGUUGGGGAUUCAUUUCCUUAGUAACGUAGCUAACGCGUGAAGUUGACCGCCUGGGGGAGUACGGUCGCAAGAUUAAAACUCAAAGGAAUUGACGGGGUCAUAGCUGUUUCC
rnacentral:rRNA from 1 species